rnacentral:rRNA from 1 species
CAAUAGCGUAUAUUUAAGUUGUUGCAGUUAAAAAGCUCGUAGUCGGAUUUUGGCUGAGAACGAUCGGUCCGCCGUUAGGUGUGCACUGAUUGGUCUCAGCUUCCUGGUGAGGAGGUGUGCUUCACGGCCACUUAGUCACCGUGGUUACUUUGAAAAAAUUAGAGUGUUCAAAGCGGGCUUACGCUUGAAUAUAUUAGCAUGGAAUAACACCAUAGGACUCCUGUCCUAUUUCGUUGGUCUCGGGACGGGUGUAAUGAUUAAGAGGAACAGUUGGGGGCAUUCGUAUUUCAUUGUCAGAGGUGAAAUUCUUGGAUUUAUGAAAGACGAACUUCUGCGAAAGCAUUUGCCAAGGAUGUUUUCAUUGA